CGAGAAUAUCCAGGAAUUAAGGAAAUCUGUUCCAGUCUGAUUGGCAGAGCAAACGGAUGGAAACGCAGUUGGAAAGAGAUGCACUUCAGGACAGCAGACAGAAGGAAUUGCAGAGCCAAGAGAAUCUACAAACACAGUUAAAAAAUAGUCCUGGAGAGCUGGAAGCUGCCAGCCAACAGCAGG